rnacentral:lncRNA from 1 species
GCCACACUGCCAGGGGUGGCUAGUCGACCAUGAGCUCCGGAGCAGUAGGAAGGGAGUGCGGAGCCGGUAGCAAUAGAGGUAGUAUGAGUGGAUCCUUGUUAUAUCCACCUAUGUGGAUAUAACUUUAGGGGUGAGUGCUCUAGCAGUGGAGGCAUUUAAGAGAAACUUAGACAACCACCUGGCAGAUAUACUCUCCCCCCCAUAUUACCACAUUGAGCAGGGGGUUGGACUUCAUGAUCUUAUAAGUCUCUUCCAACUUCAUUAUUCUAUGAGUCUCUUUCUGAGUUGUUUCUCUCUUGCUCAUUUUGUCAGAUCCUAAUCUGCUGAUCUUUUGGAUUUCUGCAGAUCUUUGGCUUAGCAUGUUGUCAGAAUUGUCCCAGUACGGUUCUGCAAACAGAUUGUUUCUGUGUUUCCAAUGAUACAGCCUGCAUUGUAUAAUACUUGUGCAGGCUUUUGUUUAGAAGGAGGCUCAUAGAGAUACGUACAAAGAAAUUAACAAAGCCACAGAAGGAUGUCUCUGUUUCUUUUUCAUCUUAGUACAUGGAUCAUGUAAAGCAGGAGUAAGAAAUCUAAAUUGCUAAACUGCAAAUUUCAUUUAUUUCUUGCCCUUGAGCAGGACUGGGGCUGAAAAGAAUUGGAGACCAACCCUAUUUUGAGUGUGACAGGUUUUCUGACCCAGAUGUAUUGUAAGUGAGACCAAAAACCCUCCCAAGGGCUGAACUGGUCACAAGGCAGGUCUAUUGUAUUUGGUCUAAUUAAUUCAAUGCAUUGUUGUUCUGUAACUGUUCUUAGACGCAUUUUCUAACUUCAAAAUAUGCACCAGAGAAAAGGAUUCUAUGUUAAAAUUUAUAUGUGUGCGUACAUUCAGUAUCACAUAAUACUUUCUCAUGUUGCUUGCCUUAAAUGUUGUCAACAGCUUGCCUUUCCUUGCAGGGUUUCGCUCCCUUCCAUUAGGUAAUUGAUGUGUUUUGUUCUUCAGGCUCGGGUAUUAACACCUAGGCCUGCUCUCAAAUAUGUAUGAAGUAGCCCUUGCACCCUGAAAAUAAACGUGUUCUGAACCUAGCA